rnacentral:rRNA from 1 species
UACGUAGGGGGCAAGCGUUGUCCGGAUUUAUUGGGCGUAAAGAGCUCGUAGGUGGUUCGGUAAGUCGGAUGUGAAAUCUCCAGGCUCAACCUGGAGGGGUCAUUCGAUACUGCCGUGACUAGAGUGCAGAAGGGGCAACUGGAAUUCUCGGUGUAGCGGUGAAAUGCGUAGAUAUCGAGAGGAACACCUGCGGCGAAGGCGGGUUGCUGGGCUGACACUGACGCUGAUGCGCGAAAGCCAGGGGAGCGAACGGG